rnacentral:rRNA from 1 species
AUUGAACGCUGGCGGCAGGCUUAACACAUGCAAGUCGAGCGGGGAAGAGUAGCUUGCUACCUAACCUAGCGGCGGACGGGUGAGUAAUGCUUAGGAAUCUGCCUAUUAGUGGGGGACAACAUUCCGAAAGGAAUGCUAAUACCGCAUACGCCCUACGGGGGAAAGCAGGGGAUCUUCGGACCUUGCGCUAAUAGAUGAGCCUAAGUCAGAUUAGCUAGUUGGUGGGGUAAAGGCCUACCAAGGCGACGAUCGGUAGCGGGGCUGAGAGGAUGAUCCGACACACUGGGACGGGGACACGGCCCAGACUCCUACGGGGGGCAGCAGUGGGGAAUAUUGGACAAUGGGCGCAAGCCUGAUCCAGCCAUGCCGCGUGUGUGAAGAAGGCCUUUUGGUUGUAAAGCACUUUAAGCGAGGAGGAGGCUACUUGGAUUAAUACUCUAGGAUAGUGGACGUUACUCGCAGAAUAAGCACCGGCUAACUCUGUGCCAGCCGCCGCAGUAAUAC